rnacentral:lncRNA from 1 species
AUCCAUUAUAAAGCUAGGGUUUCUCCUACCACUCCAACUGCGCCUUAUCCUCCUCUUUCCUUUUCCUGCAGCUAUCGUUUUCUUUCACUUCACUUUCUUAUCUCGUUUUAUAUCAGGUCGAGAAUCGAAUUCCAUUUCUACACAAUAAUAUUCAUCCUUAUCACUAUAUAUCUCUCCGAUCUGCUGCUUCAUGUUUCACAAAUUGAAUAAAAAUUGCUAUUUGUGAAAUCUUAAUUUCUUGGCGACGGUUUUGCUCGAUAAGAUGUUUUCUGCGGUAAUUAAUGAAGGGUUUGGCUAUCUGAAUGAAUUGAUGGAUAAGUUGGAACACUAAAGCUCCGAUGCGCAAAUUAUUGGAAACUGAUGAGGUAAGGAAGCUCGUUUUCAAAUUUUGUACUAUUUUUGCAAGCGGUGCUUUUAUGAUUAAUAGUGGGAUGGAAUCCUAUUCAGAGGAGUUUGAUUACCUAUUUGAAGGUCUAGGGGAGCAGAUUAGUGUGCUCAAUUUGGUGGAAAGGCUUGAUGGGAUAGGUGAAAGAUUGCAAAUGAUUUUGAAUUUGGAUGAAACCAAUGAAGAGAGAAUAGUUGAAUUAUUGGGAAUUGAAUCAAAUAAAAAGAAGUUGAAGCAUUGGCGAUUCCAAUAUUUGGUAUGGGAGGAAUAGGAAAAAAAAGUGAUUUGGAUUUAAUACUUUUAAGUUGACAAAAGUUCUAGUAUGUUUAGAUGAUGUUUGGAAAGAAAAAUGAAGAGAUUUGGAUAUACUAUGAACUUUGUCAUAUCCGUUAGUCCUAAAGAAUGGGAAGAUGAGUCAAAAGUAUGAAGAAUGGUAGUAUUUUUUUAAUAUUAAAAUUCAGCUACCAAUAUCUUCCUCCUCAAUUGCAAAAAAUAUAUUUGCUUACUAAUUUAUCUUUCCCAAGGACUAUGAGUUUGAUAAAUCCAAUCUAGUAUAUUGUUGGUAAGCUAAACGGUAACCUACUUUAAGAAGGAAUUCAUUGCAAAGAUGUGGUUUGUAUGGGAGGGCUAUGAUUGUCACAAAAACUUUGAAAUUGAGGUUUUAUGCAAAUGGAAGAAUUAGAAGGUGAUUAUUUUUGGAUAAACUCUUGGCAAGAUUAUUCAUCCAAUUGUCAAGUGGCAAAUAUUCAUUUUUGGGAUGCACAACAUCCUUGAUGAUUGGAGAUACGUUGAAAAAUAUUUCUAUAAUGGUCCAUCACUUGUCAUUCAUUGAUUUAUAUAUGUGACUAGCGGUCUAAUCUUAUGACCUUUCGCCACUGCCCAUUUUGAAGAAGUAUGUUGUUCAACCGUUCUUCUUUUAUUAAGGAGCUCUGCCUGACUUAUUGCCAAAAUUGUACUGUAUUAAAAAUGCUAUCAUUAAUUGGUUAUGAUUCAAUAUAUGAGCUUCCAAGUUUUGUUGGUGGUUAUGAGACAUUUGGAGCACGAGCUAAAUGAUCCUCAAAAUGUUUCUGAUGCACUAAAGCCCCAUGAAAAUUUAUCAAGUCUUGAAAUUGAUUUUUAGGGGGAUUAAAAUUAUCUAGUUUUAUGGGGGAUUUAUCGUUAUCCAAGUUAACAAACAAGUUUUAAUGGUUGUAAUAAGUGCACGAGUUUUCCACAUUAGGGAAACUAGCUUUACCCAAAGACUUGAACGUUUGACAUGUAUCAUGUAAAAAAUGAUUGGAGCUGAGCUUCACAGAAAUGCAUGCUAAGGAGAGUUUAGCAGUUGUCAAAAGGUGUCCUCAGCUUGGUGUUCUUCCUGCUAUUAGUUUUCUUCAUAUAGAGGAUUGUGAAGCUCUGGAGUUCAUUUGUAUAUCAGCAAUUGAUGGGUACGUAUUCCAUCCAUGAGCUCAUUUCAUUUCUGUAAAACAGUUCAUUUUGCUACCUACAAAUUUCUUUUUCGUUUCAUCCACAAUAGUUUUGAGAUUUUAUGUCUCAACCUGACUUAAUAUCAUUGCAUUUCGUAGCCUGGGAUAAGUUUAGACAUUUAAAUUAAGAAUCCUUUCAUUUUAAAUUUGAAUUGAAUUUUGGCAAAACUUAAUUCGAAGUUGUCAAAUCCAGUAUUAAUAAUGUUCAUAAUGAUGCUUUGUAUCUGUUAAAUGUAUGCUUCUAUUCCCUAGAGCAUAUGUGAACAUUAUUUAGCCCUUGUUUGUGCCCCAUUUUUUCAAAAAUUCAUUUUUUCAAAAUUCAUUUUCAACCACACAUUCUCCAAUAAAAUAAUUUUACAUGUAUAUCAAAAAAAAAUUCUUAUUUUCUAACCACAUAUUCUCCGAAAAUUCACGAUACAAAAACACAUUUUCUCUUCAAAAUGGGGCUCAAACAAGGGCUUACAUUGGUUGGUUAAGCAACGAAUAAAAUCUGACUAUCAAUUCCAGUUGCCAUUGCAUUUUUUCUUUCCAUAUUUUUUUUCUUAUCCUCUGUAUCAAAUGGUUUGGUUUUAGUUUCUUCUUGUUAUCAAUGCAUCAGUUCAUUUUUUUAGUUGUAUAAUAUAUAGACUGUGCUACUAUUUUAAUAUGGAAAUCUGUAUCUAUUUUCAUUGACUUGAAAUCUUAUAUUAAAAUCUGUGGCUGAUCCUAGAUUUUUCAGUAUAAGCUUUUGGUGUAGAAUGAAAUUCAAGUCACAGGAAAUAUUUCAAUGGCCUUGUAGCCAUCCUAUUAAAUAGAAACUGAUGUUUGCAAUAGAUGGACUCGCAUAAAUAGAAACUAGAGCCUUCUGAAUGAUUAGAGUGCAGGUGAACUCUCGUAUGGCUUAAGAAAGAGAAACAAAAGGAGCCUUUUAAAUUUUCGUAAAAGUGAAGACAGGACAAUUUCACUCUGAUAAUAUGCUCACAUUAGUUUGUAUGCUAAUAUUCAUGGGUGACUAUAAAUUUUCUCUGUUGAGUUGCAUAUUGACCUGAGUGACUCUUGUUCAGGAAAUCUAAUCAAGUUUGCUUCUGAGAAUUCAGAGGCCUUGAAUUUUGAUCGAUUGGAAGAACGCCAUCUAGCUGCUGUGCCCAGAACAGAAACAUGGUUUUGUCCCUGCGCACAUCUUUCUCCCUCUUUUUAAGUAUUUUUUUAGCCAAGCAAUAGAGGUCACGAGGUCUUGGCUCGGCUGAUUUAGCACAUUCUGAACAUUUUGUUAACAAUGCUUCGAUAUAUCGUCAAUGUCGUUUUCCUGGUCUGGUCGUCCAAGUCUCUCAUCUCCUGUUCGGAUCCUCGUAAAGGCAUUCUCCUUAUUUGGCACAGCUUGUUAUAUAACUUUAGUAGUUACCCUGUGGGACAACUGGGAUAAAGGUAAAUGGGAAGAUGGUAUGUUGGAGCCAGAAGCAUUUUUGAGUUUAUAACUAAUUAAAUUGUUGUUUAAAAAAAACUCCAAAUUUUCCAACUAGAUAGAGGGUUGAUUUGAAUUUUUUUUUGUUUUUUUUUUACACUUCUAAAAUGUGUAUUUUAUUCUCUUCAAAAACUGUCAAUAUUCAUUAGAAAAUAUGUACAUAGAAGAGUUGAAGAUGAUUAUGUUGUCUUGCCAAUUUCUUUCUGCUCUUCAAUAGCAAAAUUCUACUUUUUCCAGAAAAA